rnacentral:rRNA from 1 species
GACGUAGGGCGCGAGCGUUGUCCGGAUUUAUUGGGCGUAAAGAGCUCGUAGGCGGCUUGUCGCGUCGACCGUGAAAACUUGGGGCUCAACCCCAAGCCUGCGGUCGAUACGGGCAGGCUCGAGUUCGGUAGGGGAGACUGGAAUUCCUGGUGUAGCGGUGAAAUGCGCAGAUAUCAGGAGGAACACCGGUGGCGAAGGCGGGACUCUGGGCCGAUACUGACGCUGAGGAGCGAAAGCGUGGGGAGCAAACAGG